ensembl:lncRNA
AUGACCUGUUUCCUGCCCUUUCAUUUGUCAGCAGACCCCUCUGGUGUCCAGGCGAGACACUCUGCCCUUCAGGGUGCUGGGGAGGGGUCGACCAUCUGUAAACAGGGGGGGAAGAGGAAAAGGAGCCUGCUGUUGGGGAAAAGGGACCUCCCUCCCAGCCGGGUGAGGAGAUGGGACCGGCGGUCAUGGCGGAGAGAGCUAGACAGCAGCUCCUCGGACUCCCCCGCAUCUGAUUCCAUCAUCGUGCUCAGUUCCGCCUUCUUCCCCCCUGCUGCUACCAGCACUCCCCCUGACUCUUCUCCUCUUUCAAUGACACCUUGCAAUACCCUACUGCUUUCCCAUUCCUUAUCACUCAGUACGCCUUCCAGUUGCCCUAGCACCCCACUGUACCCUCACUCCUUCACCUCCAGUGCCCCUGGCACACCGUUACAAAGUGAUCUGACAUCCCCAGUACGCACCAAGUCAUUCUACUCCAGUGCCCCAUGCACCCCACAACAUGCGAUCCUUUGCAGGGACAGGAGCAACAUCUCAGGAAAUAGGACUACAUGUUGUGGGCUGGAGAGAUGUCCGACAGCAGCUAAAGAAACCAAUCCCCCUCUAGGUAUUUUCAAUAUUAAUGUGGACACAGUGAAGACAGAGGAUUCUGAGAUGAGUAGGAGCAAUGAAAUGAAGACUUCAAGACCAAACGAAAUGGGUGGGAAAGGUUCUCCUAUCAGAGCUAAGACUUUUGCACCGUCAGACACCAGUCCCAUUUUGAAAAAGGAAAAUAGUCCACAUGCUGACCGACCACUGCGGAAACCAAUGGAAACCUCAGCUGGUGCUUCUGCGCUUGAGGCAGACCAUGGGAUCCUCAUUCCAGGAAGGAAGCUAACACUCACCCCCAUCUUUUCCAACCCUUGUCAUGUACCAGAAACCAGAAAGAGAAGUCCACAUAAAAGCCCUAAGUCUCCUCAGGCAACCACAGCACAUCAAAAACCCAACUCCCCUCAAGAUACAAAAAGUUCUAAGAAAAUUCCUAAAACCAGUGAAUCACUUAAAUUAACACUUUUGUCAUCUGAGAAGCAGACAGACAAAACACAGUGUAAUUUUAUGGAACUACCAACACCUCAGAUUGUUGUCAGUACAGCUGGAAUUGCAGAGUCACAACAUGUUAUACCCACAAAGAAUAUAGAAUCCCAGAGUGCUGGAGGGAACCGGCCAUCCAACAAGACUUCACCUUCCUCUGACCCUCUUCUUAAAGGGAAAGAUUCUGCAAACACAGCUUCUCUGCAAAAGCCAAAGGAAGAUAGAGGAAGGAAUGAGAGACCUCCCUUCCCUGGCUUUAGAGACUUUAAGCAGGCAUUUAAAAGCCUUUUAGAGCAGAGGCCAGUGGUGGCUAAACCUCCCAGAAAAUCCAAUAUAGCUCUGAAUGACAUACAGGGGCAGUUUAAGACCCCCUCUCCCAAGACCUGUUCCCUCAAGACUUCCUCUCCAAAGACCAUCUCUUCUAAAACCUCCUCUCCCAAUACUUCCUAUCCCAUGAACUCCUCUAAUAAGACCACGUCUCAUAAAACCUCCUCUCCCAAGACUUCCUGUCUCUGGAAGCCUCAGAGUAGAGGUCUAUUCAGAACUUUCCAGGAUCCCAAGAUCCAAAUUCCCAUUCAGAAUCAGAGCCCUUCUAUCCGGCCCACCUCCAACAAUAACCCAGAAGAGAAGCCUCCAGCAUCAACCUCAGUUCUGGGCAGGAGUUCAGAGUUGAAAAUGAGACAAGCUUUCCAGCAACAGGAUACACCCAGGCCAAAGAGUUACCCCCCCAAGAGCAAACCAUUCGAGAUUUCCCCAGGCUAUAUAGGUACUCCUUUUCAGGGAAGUACCCCCAUCUCUAGGGGUCUAAAAACCUCACAUGGCUGUCCAUCGAGGACCAGGAGUUCUCAGAGUAAUGCCUCAUAUUCUGCCAGAGCACGUUGGGAAAGAGAGGACAGAGAGAGGGAGAGAUGGCAGAGGGAGCGGUCCCCCGCCUCACCUCGACAGCGUUACCAAGCAUGGGGCCCAGUUCCACAGCCAACAUGGGAGAGAAAUCCUAAAGAAGGCUUGACAAGAUCUGGGAAGGAAAAAACUUCUAAAAGACAAGAUGACUUAAAAAUGAAAGUCCAAACACCACUUUCUCAAAAAAAAACCACCACUCACAAGAGUUGUCCAAAUGUACCCUCACCGUGCCAGUAUCCGCCACCGGCCAGAAAUGGCUCAGAUUCACGCUCCAAAAACACCAACGGCACCCGCUUACCCACGGCCCACACUAAAUCUAAAGUACCAGGAGAGAGGACAUACAGUCAGCACAUCAGACUCCCCUCUGUCCCACAGCAGUUCCCUCACCAGUCGCUCCACCCCAGAUCCGGCCCCAGCAGUCCAGAGAUUAUCCAUGCCAUUGUGAGUGUGAUCGGGUAUCUGCUUGGUGUUCCACCCACCUCCAUCCCCGGCUUCUGCCCUUCACUUGAAGACCCCAGUGCCUCGUCCACCCCUGACCCAUCUGCUUUUCAUUUGGAACCCAGCCAGCACCCCUUGAUUGAAGAGCUACGACUCCUCAGGCAAAGACUCAGUAAGACUGGGCCAGAGGUCAGCACUCAGCCAACACCCAACGCCCAUCACACCAAGCCGUCUUACAGACCACAGGACAGAUGAAGAUGAAGAUAGUAUGCUGUAAUGCUGAGCUGCAAAGAGUCUAAGAGCAGUUGUCCAGAGACUGACAGACCUGUGGAUACUGGAAAAAGUUCACCAAAGAUGUUCACUUCAACAUGUGCUCGAAUACUUGGUUUGUGUUUCUAACCCUUUAUCUGACAUGAAUAAGGAUAAAAUAUGCCCAGCCAGAUACUUAAUAGAAAUAUGUUUUCCUUGAGGACUGACAAACUAGUUCUUUGUUUUUUUUAUAAUGGAUAUGUUACUACUUGAAUUUGAUUAUUGCACUGUGCAUGCUGAAUGUUGUUCUUGUGACCACACGAGGGCGGUCUCCAGCAAACCUAAUAUUGUCAUGACUCCUAGUCAUUUUGAAAUGUACAGAUUUUGAAUAAUUUUUAUGUGACAACUGAACCUCUACAAAACAUACAACAUUGAGGAGUAUAAAUCUUUGAGACAUUUUGUUUAGAUUUCCUUAUGGUGAUAAUCUACCUGUUUGCUUACCCUACAGAUUAGACAAACCCUUUUCUGAAGUUCCUUUAUUAUUAUUUUAUCUCCAAUCAUUUUAGUGCUACAUUCACAUGCACUGAUUUUACUAAACUCUUUAUAAAACACCAAAAUCGUUAUGCGUAACCCAGCAUAUUUUACUGUAUAUUCCAAUUUUUCUUGAACACUAAUUUUGUUUGAAGACUUUUACCACACCAAUUAAAAAUUCCAAAUAUACAUUUACGGUGACAUACCAUGAGAACCUUGACUCAUUCCCGUAUAAGGCCAAUAAAUCACAAACCACAACAGAUUACUUAUUGCUAUUGUAAAUCUCUUACCAACAGUUACAACAGUAAAAAGUUAUAUGAUGUCAUAUCUGUAGUAAAUGGUCACACACACUACUUCCUCAAUUAGACUUUGUUAAAAACAACUAAUUAAUUUCUUCCUGCAUGAUGACCUUGUGUUUUAUGAUAAUAGUCAGAGAACGUUACUCUCCAUCUAAGCUAACAAACAAAUCAAGAUAAAUGAAUGGGCCGCAUUAGAAUCAUUGGACUAAACAUUAUAAAAUAAAAGAAGCAAGUUCAUAUCUGUUGAGCAUGUGAAAUAAUUCUAGGUCUUCGCUAAAUACAUAAUUAAGCCAGUCUGUUUCUGGCCCCUCAAAACAAAUUAUAGCCCAAGUUCACAUCUUGUUCCAGUGUGCAGAAUGCCACACUAAAGACGUGCCAAGAAGCCACGUUCCUUUGGGUAAAAGUGACAAACCAAAAAUUACAUAACCUUUUUAAAAAAAGGGUCACGGAGAGUCCUCCAAAAUUGUAUGAUUUGAUGUGGUGCUAGUAUAGUGUGGGUUAAGGACAAACAUGACAGAACUUUCCAGCAAUAAACCUUGAAUUCUACCACUUUCCUUCGAACCUACAGAAGACCAACAUAUUUUUUUAAUUGAAAGGGAUCCUCACAGAAGCUGACAAGAAUGGUUCCUUUUCAGAAAAUGUGUUGGCAUUUAUUUUCAAUGACAGUCCCCUUAUAGCCUGAUUUUCUUUUCUUCCAAAUGCGCCAUAAUAGGGGAGACGUGCGUCUCACUCCUAGGCCUGGAGAUCAUGGAAAUGACCACUGGCCAGGGAUCGGAAGCUCUACUGACACCAGAGCCAUGGUCAAAGGCAGGCCGUGGCCUGAGAGGGAAUCCCACACAUGGCCCAGACCCACACAUCUAACGGUGCCAUGGAUGCUGAAUACAAUCAAUCCAAAAGGUUAGGAAACCUGGGGAAAUAAACCACACGUAGUGACAAGAGGUGACAAUUGCUUUAAAACCACAAGCUGUCAGAGAGAGGUAGCUUGUCCCACCUUGUCUGACCAGAAUAUGCUGGCCCAACAGGGAGCAUUGGAACCAUUUAAGUGCUACAAAAAUUGCCAAGAGCUCUGGGUAGUUGUUUUGGUACGCAUUCUAAAUCACCAACAACAUCCCCCCUGACUGAGCCACUGUUGCACGGAGCCCCGUACUCCAUAUGAGAGCCGUCUGUGAUUGAAAGUUAGAGAUGCAACGCCCAGCCCAAAGGAGCCCCUAUAAAAGUAACUGGAGAUCCCUCCAUUUGGUCAGUUCCAUGAAGAGCAACGGGGACACCGCCUGAGCACACAAUGAAUGUGCCAUGACCGGUUCAAGAGUUUGGCCCACAACUAGCGCCAGACUGGCCGUAUACAUCACAGCCAGAGAGGGAAAACGGCCACCAGAGAAGCCAUCCUGUCGAGGAGAUUAAAGGUAGUCACAAAGCACACAGUCCCAGAAGGAAAUUAAGAAAAGGAAUCACAAAAUUCAAAUUCCCAUCUGAACAGAUGCAAACACUCAGAGCCCAGUGCACUGUCAACGGCUGGCGGAACUCCAAUACUAUCAGCCAGUCGUUCCAAUAUGCAGGCACUAUAAUCCCUCUGAGUGUUAACGGAGACCGAGCUCGUCAGAACUUCCAAGUGUAGGUCUCCCCAGUUGUUGACCAGAAACCAAAGGAGCAGAAUGGGUAAUAGACAGGUAUGCAUGUUACACUCUCUCCCUCGCUUCUUGCUCCUGCAGUUGAGCGUGGAGAUCACCCAACCCAUCACUGAAGGAUGAGGUGGGGGAUAUAGGCUGUCCAACAAAACCCAUCUGUUACGUUGAAGGAGAUGCAACAACCUAAACAACCUAAAGACAACCUAAAGCAAAGUUGCUGAACAACUGUCAACGCCAUGCUCUGUCGAUAGCUGAGACAGCAUCCUGGGAAAGACAAAUAGUAAUGUCAGUAGUAGCCUGUACGAAGUUGCAAGCAUGGGAGACCAGCCACCGUAACGCCAUUAAGUUUUGCGAACAACUCUGUCUGGUAUAUCUUGGGUAUGGAUACAGUGCGGGGCGAAAGUACUUCAACGGCCUGCAGAGUAUAAUUCCCUGAGCUGGUCACACACAAACCUCACACGGUCAGGAAGAAAAGAUGGACCACAAGGGGUCGCAUGCCCAGCUGGUGGUAACAUAUCUACUAAACCGGUUGUUAUUGCAAACAGCUUUAGGAAACCUACAGAUGGGAAUAAACAGUUUCCAUCAUAAAAGGCUGAAAGAGUACAUUUCUCAUGGGCAAUUCCAAAGAGUCUGCAGAAUUUACAGUCAGAAAACUAGAGAGUAAAAUCUUCAGAGUUGGAGAAUCACUUCUUGUCAAUGAAAGAUACUUCUUCUGAAAUAAGCAGGUUUAAGGGCCAACCCAGGCUUUGGUCUGUUCACACUGCUGCCGUCUGGUAGAUGCUACUGGAGCAUUGCGGCACGCACCUCCAGACACACAAACAGUUUUUUUCCCUCAGGCCAUAAAGGCUCCUCAACCAACAACACUGAUUCAUGAUCAUACUGUUCACAGAUGAACAAUACAGAUGCUCUGAUGUCUUUUCAGGUUCUUUCAAUGUACACUAGAAUAUUCCCUCAUGUGCCAUUCAUAAGCACAUUAUAGUCAUUCAUACCCCUUCACACAAUAUUGUGCAUUUUCACAGUCCUACUCAACCUGCUAGUUUUUUUGUUAUGUAUAUUAUUGCCAUACUUGCCAUAUCUAUAACAUUUAAUACUACUACCCAUUUGCUGCUAGUUUAUAGUACUCCUUUGAAAUUGCUGCUAGUUUUACAGUGUUGUGUAAAUUAACGCUUAAUAUUUUCGCUAUAUAUUUUGCUUUAUAGAUUUUUCUUAAUUCUUACUAUAUAGAUGUCAGGUGCCUUGUCACAAGAAUUUCAUUGUGCAGGAUGAUGCUGUGUUAUUCGGUACAUUUGAUAAAUAAACUUGAAACUGAAACUAAAAUGAAUUGACAGGAUGCAGCAGAGAUGUUGGAGAGCGGAGGUUUUGGAGAAGCACGAUUGAAUCUCAAGUCAAUAAUUUCAUUAACUGCAAAAUUACUCAGGUCAUCUACAUAUUGGAAGGUAAAAGAGACACAUUUAAGUAUGCCAUAAGGGUAUGCAACAAAGACUAGCCCAUAGCAUGACUACAAGUCAUUACACCAUGGCAACUCUGCCUCACAACAAGUUAUGGGGAUUGAAUAAGUUCCUGCUUAAAUUUUAAGGGCCAACCAUAAGAAAGGAACAUAACAAAGGAAGCAUUUUUGUCAUUACAAACUACAGGCCACUAAGUAUCCUGGUUUGAUAGUAUGAAUAUAUGGAUUCCUCUAUAUUUCUGUUGGGUCCUUACUUGUCCUGAAGAUGUCAUCUUGCAAUGUUGCUCUCUGCUCUGUUUAUUAAUUACUGCUAUGUUUAUUAAUUACAUCAAGUCUCUACUCUCACUGUGUUUUUUACAAUUGGAUGAAAUGUUAGAGAAAAUAAACCUACAUUACUG